rnacentral:rRNA from 1 species
AUGGCUCGACGCUUCGACAUGUCGGCGUUCCAUGUCUGGCUACGCACAGAUGAUCCGACGGCGAUCCCAUCCCAGCGCAGGUUGUUCAUCAAGGAACCAACACGCGGCCGUCACGGCCUCGUCUCCGACACCCCUACAGCGCUCUGCUAUCCCAUCUCAAUUUCUCAGCUGGCGCCACCGGCCCGGCUGGAUGCGCCUGGCGAUGCGGGUUCGCCGCCGCCGCCUUCGCCGCCCUCGCGGAGCGGUGGCCGGGACGACUCUUCCGUGGGUGGUGAUCUUGGCCGUGGACCGUCGACGCGGCCUGGGGCGGGUCGCCGGUCCGCGAGCGUGGAGUGUGGAGGCUCGUGCGCUUCUUCGGUGGCUUCGGCCCCUCCGGCGAGGGAGGCGGUGCUCCAGGCGUCAGCGUCGCCACCAUCUGUGGGCAUGGUAACCGUGGGUAUGGGGCGGACUCGGGAUUCGGGGCCCUGCUGCCUUGGCUGUGUGUGGUGGCCCACCUCCCUUGUUGGUCGGGUCCAUGGCUCUGCCCCUGUCUGGCGCAUGCGACAGCGCCCACCUGCUGUCCCCAAGUCGCGACAUCUCGGCCUCAUUGCUUGA